rnacentral:rRNA from 1 species
AGUCUGGUGCCAGCAGCCGCGGUAAUUCCAGCUCCAAUAGCGUAUAUUAAUGUUGUUGCAGUUAAAAAGCUCGUAGUUGAAACUUGAAUAUUUUAAUAAGUUUGGUUUAUUUUCUAUAAAUGAACUACUUAUUGGUAUUCUUCCUACUAGAAACUCGAUUCUGUUCUUAAUUGAAUGGAAUAGCAAUUUGAAAGGAUUGUCAAUUCGUAAGAAUUGGAGUUCUAGUUCAUUUACUUUGAGAAAAUUAGAGUGUUUAAAGCAGCCUCUUUGGGCUCUGAAUAUAUUAGCAUGGGAUAAUAAAAUAGGAUUUAGUUAUUUUAUUUGUUGGUUUGAAAUAAUUAAAUAAUGAUUAAUAGGGACAGUUGGGGGUAUUUAUAUUGGGUGGUUAGCGGUGAAAUGCAUGGAUCCACUCAAGAUAAACUAAAGCGAAAGCAUUUACCAAGGAUGUUUUCAUUAAUCAAGAACGAAAGUUAAGGGAUCGAAGAUGAUCAGAUACCGUCGUAGUCUUAACUAUAAACUAUGCCGACCAGGGAUAUGAGUUGUUAUGAAUGGCCUUUUGGUUAUUCGAUUUCCUCUUGUGAACCUUGUGAGAAAUCAUAAGUUUUUGGGUUCUGGGGGGAGUAUGGUCGCAAGGCUGAAACUUAAAGGAAUUGACGGAGGGGCACCACCAGGAGUGGAACGUGCGGCUUAAUUUGACAACGCGGGAAAACUUACCAGGUCCAGACAUUAGAAGGAUUGACAGAUUGAUAGCUCUUUCAUGAUUUAAUGGGUGGUGGUGCAUGGCCGUUCUUAGUUGGUGGAGUGAUUUGUCUGGUUAAUUCCGAUAACGAACGAGACCUUUACCAUACUAAAUAGUUUGAUUUAUUCAUUUAUGAAUAGAUUUAUUUAAAACUUCUUAGAGGGACUAUUGGUUCUUAAACCAAAGGAAGUAAAGGCGAUAACAGGUCUGUGAUGCCCUUAGAUGUUCUGGGCUGCACGCGCGCUACAAUGAUAAGCUCACCGAGUAUUUAUUCUUUUGAAUAUAUCGCUGUAUUGGAAAAUAUGGCUAAUCUUAAACGCUUAUCGUGCUUGGGAUAGAUGAUUGCAAUUAUUUAUCUUGAACCAGGAAUUCCUAGUAAUCGUAUAUCAUCAGUGUGCGAUGAUUACGUCCCUGCCCCUUGUACACACCGCCCGUCGCUGCUACCGAUUGGAUGGUCCGGUGAAAUCCU